GAUCAUUAACGAAGCAUUAGNAAGGUUGUAGCUGCCUUGAAAGAGGAUGUGCACGCCUUUUAAAUCUUCUAUUUACCACCUGUGAACUCUUGCGGAGAUCGUGAUAACUCUCACAUGAAAAUUGUGGAUUAGUAGGCUUGCUAAGUGCUUGCUUACGAUUUCGCGGUCUCUUGCUUUUACACACACUUUAAAAGUUUUGAAUGUUGAUUUACGGAUUGUAAUGAUCUGUAAUAAUUUAAAUACAACUUUCAGCAACGGAUCUCUUGGCUCUCCCAUCGAUGAAGAACGCAGCGAAAUGCGAUAAGUAAUGUGAGUUGCAGAAUUCAGUGAAUCAUCGAAUCUUUGAACGCACCUUGCGCCCUUUGGUAUUCCGAAGGGCAUGCCUGUUUGAGUGUCAUUAAAUUCUCAACCUUACCAGCUUUGUCUGUUGUGAGGCUUGGAUGUGAGGGUUUGCCGGCUUCCUUCAGUGGAUGGUCAGCUCCCUUUAAAUGCAUUAGUGGGAUCCUUUGUGGACGGUCACUUGGUGUGAUAAUUAUCUACGCCGCUUGACUGCGAAGCAAGCCUUAUGGGAACCUGCUCAUAACCGUCUUCGGACAAUACUUUUGACAAUUUGACCUCAAAUCAGGUAGGACUACCCGCUGAACUUAAGCAUAUCAAUAAGCGGGGGAAAAGAAACUAACAAGGAUUCCCCUAGUAACUGCGAGUGAAGCGGGAAAAGCUCAAAUUUAAAAUCUGGCGGCUCCGUCGUCCGAGUUGUAAUUUAGAGAAGUGUUACCCGUGCUGGACCGUGCACAAGUCUCCUGGAAUGGAGCGUCAUAGAGGGUGAGAAUCCCGUCUUUGGCACGGACUCCCAGUGCAUUGUGGUGCGCUCUCGAAGAGUCGAGUUGUUUGGGAAUGCAGCUCAAAAUGGGUGGUAAAUUCCAUCUAAAGCUAAAUAUUGGGGAGAGACCGAUAGCGAACAAGUACCGUGAGGGAAAGAUGAAAAGAACUUUGGAAAGAGAGUUAAACAGUACGUGAAAUUGCUGAAAGGGAAACGCUUGAAGUCAGUCGCGUCGUUCGGGAUUCAGCCUUGCUUUUGCUUGGUGUACUUCCUGUUCGACGGGUCAGCAUCAGUUUUGGCCGGUGGAUAAGGGCUCAGAGAAUGUGGCACCUUCGGGUGUGUUAUAGCUUUGGGUCGCAUACAUCGGCUGGGACUGAGGAAUCUCAGCCGCCGCAAGGCCCGGGUUUCGACCACGU
rnacentral:rRNA from 1 species